rnacentral:rRNA from 1 species
UUCUAAGGGCGUUGAAGCAUGAUCGCAAGGACAUGUGGAGCGCUUAGAAGUGAGAAUGCCGGUGUGAGUAGCGAAAGACGGGUGAGAAUCCCGUCCACCGAUUGACUAAGGUUUCCAGAGGAAGGCUCGUCCGCUCUGGGUUAGUCGGGUCCUAAGCUGAGGCCGACAGGCGUAGGCGAUGGAUAACAGGUUGAUAUUCCUGUACCACCAUUAUUCGUUUUAAGCGAUGGGGGGACGCAGUAGGAUAGGCGAAGCGUGCUGUUGGAGUGCACGUCCAAGCAGUGAGAUUGAGUGUUAGGCAAAUCCGGCACUCUUAAGAUUGAGCUGUGAUGGGGAGAGGAACUUGUUCCUCGAGUCGUUGAUUUCACACUGCCGAGAAAAGCCUCUAGCUAGAAUAACGGUGCCCGUACCGCAAACCGACACAGGUAGUCAAGAUGAGAAUUCUAAGGUGAGCGAGCGAACUCUCGUUAAGGAACUCGGCAAAAUGACCCCGUAACUUCGGGAGAAGGGGUGCUCUUUGAGGUUCACGCUUCGAAGAGCCGCAGUGAAUAGGCCCAAGCGACUGUUUAUCAAAAACACAGGUCUCUGCUAAACCGUAAGGUGACGUAUAGGGGCUGACGCCUGCCCGGUGCUGGAAGGUUAAGAGGAGUGGUUAGCGCAAGCGAAGCUACGAAUCGAAGCCCCAGUAAACGGCGGCCGUAACUAUAACGGUCCUAAGGUAGCGAAAUUCCUUGUCGGGUAAGUUCCGACCCGCACGAAAGGCGUAACGAUUUGGGCACUGUCUCAACGAGAGACUCGGUGAAAUCAUAGUACCGGUGAAGAUGCCGGUUACCCGCGACAGGACGGAAAGACCCCGUGGAGCUUUACUGUAGCCUGAUAUUGAAAUUCGGUACAGUUUGUACAGGAUAGGUAGGAGCCUUAGAAGCGUGAGCGCUAGCUUACGUGGAGGCAUUGGUGGGAUACUACCCUAAUUGUAUUGGAUUUCUAACCCGCAGCACUUAUCGUGCUGGGAGACAGUGUCAGGCGGGCAGUUUGACUGGGGCGGUCGCCUCCUAAAGAGUAACGGAGGCGCUCAAAGGUUCCCUC